CUGUGGGGACAGAGAGAGAAUAAUAAAGAAGCUUGCCACUCAUCACGUCUGAGGGUCGUUCUUGCUGGCGAGAGCGACAUCUGGUGCCGAAACCCGGGAUUCGUCCGCAUCGCAGAACGGAGAUUGAGGUAGAGCAACGAUCAGGUAAGGAGUGCACCAAUAGCUGUCUAUCGACAGGGAAAGCUCCCUGGGGACGA